CGCGUGGGGCCCAGGCCGAGGGGCUGCACCUCGGGCGGACCCGGUGCCCUCCUGCCCCGUGUGUGUGGUGCCGCGGGCUGUAGGAAAGCUUUCUGCUCGGCACAGAGGGACAGAGUCUCGGAAAACGGGAAGAAAGGGAUAAGGGUGAUCCCUCUGAGGUGAAGGCGGUUCUUCCAUGCUGGCAGUAACGGAACGGGAGUGCGGUAGCGUGGGGCCAGCGUCACCCCACCUAGGAGCAGCACAAGGCAUCAGGAGGUGCUUCCAGAUCUACUGUGGACCUUUUGCACCAAGCAAGCUUGGGCUGUUUUUUCAUUUUCUUUUCCUCUCCUCUCAUUUGUCCCUCGGAUCUUGAAAGAGUCGGAUAAGGAAGUAGCUAAGAUUCCCAGUGUUGGUUUCAGUGAUUGAGAACAAACUCAUCGGUUCCCAUGAGAUGAAGUCUUCUGAGAGCUGAAGCAGAGGCAGACACACUAAGUGCCACAGAGCCUUUUCCAGGCACUAAGCAGUCCACAUUCAGUGCAUACGUCUUGAGAUCUUGAAAAAUUAGAGGCCUGGACAACUACCAACCACAUGAAUUUUAACAAGACAUGUCUUAGCCUGGACUUCAAUACGCUGUUCAUACAGAGGAGGAAACAUUGGCGUUCAAUAAAUGGUUUGGUCAAUAAAACUUCAUGAGUUUCAUUUAGAAACAAAAAGAAGACUGAAAGAACAGGGUGUGGCAAAUGCAACUGGUAUUGCACUGGAUGAUGAUUAGGCCAUCCAGGGAUGAAGUCUGUGAGAGACUGAGAAGGAGAUGCCAUAAUUACUCAAGAGCAUCCACAUCUUAUUUUAUUCCUCCCUCUGGUUCUUAGACUGUAUUUCAUUAAAUUCAAUAAA
rnacentral:lncRNA from 1 species